UACGUAGGCAGCAAGCGUUGUUCGGAAUUACUGGGCGUAAAGAGUGUGUAGGCGGUGCUCUAAGUUCGGUGUGAAGUCUCCCGGCUCAACUGGGAGGGUGCGCCGAAAACUGGGGUGCUGGAGCGCGGGAGAGGAAAGCGGAAUUCCUGGUGUAGCGGUGAAAUGCGUAGAUAUCAGGAGGAACACCGGCGGUGUAGACGGCUUUCUGGACCGUAGCUGACGCUGAGACACGAAAGCGUGGGUAGCAAACAGG
rnacentral:rRNA from 1 species